rnacentral:tRNA from 1 species
AGCAAGCGCCGCGCUGUCGGUGGAAACCAGUGGCUCUCCGGAGCGGUUGCAAGCAUGGAUGGCGGCCGUACUGGGCUG